GAAACUGCGAAUGGCUCAUUAAAUCAGUUAUCGUUUAUUUGACAGUACCUUACUACUUGGAUAACCGUGGUAAUUCUAGAGCUAAUACAUGCUGAAAACCCCGACUUCGGGAGGGGUGUAUUUAUUAGAUAAAAAACCAAUGCCCUUCGGGGCUCCUUGGUGAUUCAUGAUAACUUAACGGAUCGCAUGGCCUUGCGCCGGCGACGGUUCAUUCAAAUUUCUGCCCUAUCAACUUUCGAUGGUAAGGUAUUGGCUUACCAUGGUUUCAACGGGUAACGGGGAAUUAGGGUUCGGUUCCGGAGAGGGAGCCUGAGAAACGGCUACCACAUCCAAGGAAGGCAGCAGGCGCGCAAAUUACCCAAUCCCGACACGGGGAGGUAGUGACAAUAAAUACUGAUACAGGGCUCUUUUGGGUCUUGUAAUUGGAAUGAGUACAAUUUAAACCCCUUAACGAGGAACAAUUGGAGGGCAAGUCUGGUGCCAGCAGCCGCGGUAAUUCCAGCUCCAAUAGCGUAUAUUAAAGUUGUUGCAGUUAAAAAGCUCGUAGUUGAAUCUUGGGUCUGGCUGGCCGGUCCGCCUCACCGCGUGUACUGGUCCGGCCGGGCCUUUCCUUCUGGAGAGCCCCAUGCCCUUCACUGGGUGUGCGGGGGAACCAGGACUUUUACUUUGAAAAAAUUAGAGUGUUCAAAGCAGGCCUUUGCUCGAAUACGUUAGCAUGGAAUAAUAGAAUAGGACGUGCGGUUCUAUUUUGUUGGUUUCUAGAACCGCCGUAAUGAUUAAUAGGGAUAGUCGGGGGCAUCAGUAUUCAAUUGUCAGAGGUGAAAUUCUUAGAUUUAUUGAAGACUAACUACUGCGAAAGCAUUUGCCAAGGAUGUUUUCAUUAAUCAGUGAACGAAAGUUAGGGGAUCGAAGACGAUCAGAUACCGUCGUAGUCUUAACCGUAAACUAUGCCGACUAGGGAUCGGGCGGUGUUUCUAUCUUGACCCGCUCGGCACCUUACGAGAAAUCAAAGUUU
rnacentral:rRNA from 1 species